rnacentral:rRNA from 1 species
UACGGGGGGGGCAAGCGUUGUUCGGAAUUACUGGGCGUAAAGGGCUCGUAGGUGGCCAACUCAGUCAGACGUGAAAUCCCUCGGCUUAACCGGGGAACUGCGUCUGAUACUGGAUGGCUUGAGGUUGGGAGAGGGAUGCGGAAUUCCAGGUGUAGCGGUGAAAUGCGUAGAUAUCUGGAGGAACACCGGUGGCGAAGGCGGCAUCCUGGACCAAUUCUGACGCUGAGGAGCGAAAGCCAGGGGAGCAAACGGG